GUGCUAACUGCUAAGGGACCGCACAAACAAACGCUGACAAAGAUGUGAGGUCAAAUUUCGGAGCCAUAACGACGAUAUAAACUAUAAAGAAGCUGAGUCAGACUCUGGACACUUUCUGCCACCUACAGAAUAUUAUGAGGAGACCUCCACACGACUCCAUCCAUCGCUGUCCCCUCACUGUCUGAUCCAAGAGAGGUGGAGCUCAUACUGAGCGUGCUUAAAUAAUCGGCUGCGGAAACAAAGGGACAAAAUGACGUAGCCUGCACAUGUUGCAUGU